CUAGAAAUCAAGCAUUAGGUAAUACUAAAAUCAAUUAGAGGCCCAACUUAUGAAAUUAAAAUGGCCCAAUACCUAAAUAACACUAAAAGAAAACAAAAUCUAAAAGCCUAUAGUGAAAUGAAAAGAAAAGAAACGAAAACUGUUGUACCUCAAUAUUGCCAAACCACUAAGAAUAAAAGAAAAUAAAAGAACAAGAAAAGGCUAUCAUUUCAUGUACUCCAGCCGUAACCCAUAAAAAAAAAAGGCAAAACUAUACUUAAUAUACUCCUUAUCCCACAAUUGCAAAAGGAAAGGGAAAAAUUAAAAUAAUAUACUAUAGCCUCAAAUCCUAUUCCGUCUUCUUCCACAAACCCAGUAGUAACUCUCUCUCCUUACUUCUCAAAUUCUUUCUUUUCACUUUCUGUCCCCCUCUAGACAUCUCUCUCUCCCUGUCCUCUUCUGCAAUUCACCCAAACAGGGACGAUCCUAACUCGGCACCGCCGCACGCCUCUCCGUCGUCAGCCUCCGUCGCCGGCGGCGCUACUACUCAGAAUCGAAUGGGAUGCAGGAGAUUCACAAAAAGAAUGGAUAUACCUUUGGAAAGAGGAAAACAAAUUGAGAUUUGCAGGGGGGAUUUGGAUUCACAGGCUGCUCGAUUUUUUCCUCUCAACUGUGACAAGAAAAAAAAAUAUGGUGCUAUGGGUUUAAUAUCCAGAGAGUUGUAUACACUGAAUUGAAGUGGAAGAUUAUACCUUUGUUGGAAGGGAGAAAACUGCAUUGGAAAUUAUGAAACGGCUGAUAAAAGAUGCAGUUGUGGGGAGAUAAAUAUAAUGCAGAGAUUAGAUUUGUUUGUUGGAGAGAAUUUUGUGGGUGGAGAUAUUGAUGGGAAAAAAAAACGUGGGUUUAGAAGGAGGGAUUUAUGUUGCAGGAAUUCAAUAGGAAUUAUAAUAAAUGGUUAUAUUAAAAGUGGCCCAAUUGAAUAAGGAUAAAUGGGCUAAAAGAAAAUAAAUAGACAAAAGUGAUAGGCCCAAAUAUAUAUAAUUUUAGUACAUUGAUUAAAUUGUGGUGUUUUAUUAUUUUAGUACUUUGGUGUUAUUCCAAGUACAUUGUAAACGAACGCCCAAAUUUUCCCAUCGACAA